CGGGAGGCACCAAGGAAGAAUAUUGGCCAAUGGGGGCAACCUGACGCAGCAACGCCGCGUGAGUGAGGAAGGUUUUCGGAUCGUAAAGCUCUGUCGGGUGGGAAGAAAUGUAUGGAGGUUAACAGCCUUUGUACUUGACGGUACCGCCAAAGGAAGCACCGGCUAACUCCGUGCCAGCAGCCGCGGUAAUACGGGGGGUGCUAGCGUUGUUCGGAAUCAUUGGGCGUAAAGAGCGUGUAGGCGGCUAGGCAAGUCAGAUGUGAAAUCCCUGGGCUUAACCCAGGACGUGCAUUUGAAACUGCUUGGCUUGAGUAGGGAAGAGGGAAGUGGAAUUCCUGGUGUAGAGGUGAAAUUCGUAGAUAUCAGGAGGAACACCGGUGGCGAAGGCGACUUCCUGGUCCUAUACUGACGCUGAGACGCGAGAGCGUGGGGAGCAAACAGGAUUAGAUACCCUGGUAGUCCACGCCGUAAACGAUGUUCACUAGGUGUUGAGGGUAUUGACCCCUUCAGUGCCGAAGCUAACGCAUUAAGUGAACCGCCUGGGGAGUACGGUCGCAAGAUUAAAACUCAAAGGAAUUGACGGGGGCCCGCACAAGCGGUGGAGCAUGUGGUUUAAUUCGAUGCAACGCGAAGAACCUUACCUGGACUUGACAUCCCGGGAAUCUCCUGGAAACAGGAGAGUGCCCUUCGGGGAGCCCGGAGACAGGUGCUGCAUGGCUGUCGUCAGCUCGUGUCGUGAGAUGAGGGGUUAAGUCCCGCAACGAGCGCAACCCUUGUCUUUAAUUGCCAUCAUUCAGUUGGGCACUUUAAAGAGACUGCCGGCGUUAAACCGGAGGAAGGUGGGGAUGACGUCAAGUCCUCAUGGCCUUUAUGUCCAGGGCUACACACGUGCUACAAUGGGUGGUACAAAGAGCAGCCAACUCGCGAGAGUGAGCAAAUCUCAAAAAGCCAUCCUCAGUUC
rnacentral:rRNA from 1 species